rnacentral:rRNA from 1 species
CGGGUGAGUAAUGCGUGACCAACCUGCCCCAUGCUCCAGAAUAGCUCUUGGAAACGGGUGGUAAUGCUGGAUGCUCCAACUUGACGCAUGUCUUGUUGGGAAAGUGUUUAGUAGCAUGGGAUGGGGUCGCGUCCUAUCAGCUUGUAGGCGGGGUAAUGGCCCACCUAGGCUUCGACGGGUAGCCGGCCUGAGAGGGCGGACGGCCACAUUGGGACUGAGAUACGGCCCAGACUCCUACGGGAGGCAGCAGCU